rnacentral:rRNA from 1 species
UGAAGUGCUAUUGCUUAGUGGCGGACGGGUGAGUAACACGUGAACAACCUACCUUUUGCAGGGGAAUAACUCUGGGAAACCAGAGCUAAUACCGCAUGUCGUGCACAUGGGGCAUCCCAGGUGCAUGAAAGGAGCAAUCCGGCAGAAGAUGGGCUCGCGUCCGAUUAGGUAGUUGGAGAGGUAAUGGCUCCCCAAGCCGACGAUCGGUAGCCGGACUGAGAGGUUGAUCGGCCACAUUGGGACUGAGACACGGCCCAGACUCC